rnacentral:pre_miRNA from 1 species
AUUUAGAGCACUCUGUCUUUGAGUAGGGCUAGAUUAUUCUUGAACAAAAUGUUCCUGGAUAAUUCUCCUUUCAAGUCAAGCAUCUUGU